GAUGAACGCUGGCGGCGUGCCUAAUACAUGCCAGUCGAGCGAACAGACGAGGAGCUUGCUCCUCUGACGUUAGCGGCGGACGGGUGAGUAACACGUGGAUAACCUACCUAUAAGACUGGGAUAACUUCGGGAAACCGGAGCUAAUACCGGAUAAUAUAUUGAACCGCAUGGUUCAAUAGUGAAAGACGGUUUUGCUGUCACUUAUAGAUGGAUCCGCGCCGCAUUAGCUAGUUGGUAAGGUAACGGCUUACCAAGGCAACGAUGCGUAGCCGACCUGAGAGGGUGAUCGGCCACACUGGAACUGAGACACGGUCCAGACCCCUACGGGAGGCAGCAGUAGGGAAUCUUCCGCAAUGGGCGAAAGCCUGACGGAGCAACGCCGCGUGAGUGAUGAAGGUCUUCGGAUCGUAAAACUCUGUUAUUAGGGAGGAACAAAUGUGUAAGUAACUAUGCACGUCUUGACGGUACCUAAUCAGAAAGCCACGGCUAACUACGUG
rnacentral:rRNA from 1 species